AGAGUUUGAUCCUGGCUCAGGACGAACGCUGGCGGCGUGCUUAACACAUGCAAGUCGAGCGGAAAGGCCCCUUCGGGGGUACUCGAGCGGCGAACGGGUGAGUAACACGUGAGCAACCUGCCCCUGACUCUGGGAUAAGCCUGGGAAACUGGGUCUAAUACCGGAUACGACCCGCCAUCGCAUGGUGUGCGGGUGGAAAGAUUUUAUCGGUUGGGAAUGGGCUCGCGGCCUAUCAGCUUGUUGGUGGGGUGAUGGCCUACCAAGGCGACGACGGGUAACCGGCCUGAGAGGGCGACCGGUCACACUGGGACUGAGACACGGCCCAGACUCCUACGGGAGGCAGCAGUGGGGAAUAUUGCGCAAUGGGCGGAAGCCUGACGCAGCGACGCCGCGUGGGGGAUGACGGCCUUCGGGUUGUAAACCCCUUUCAGCAUCGACGAAGCUUCAUCUUUUCGGGGUGGGGUGACGGUAGGUGCAGAAGAAGCGCCGGCUAACUACGUGCCAGCAGCCGCGGUAAUACGUAGGGCGCGAGCGUUGUCCGGAAUUAUUGGGCGUAAGGAGCUCGUAGGCGGUCUGUCGCGUCUGUCGUGAAAGCCCACGGCUUAACUGUGGGUCUGCGGUGGAUACGGGCAGGCUAGAGGCAGGUAGGGGAGCAUGGAAUUCCCGGUGUAGCGGUGAAAUGCGCAGAUAUCGGGAGGAACACCGGUGGCGAAGGCGGUGCUCUGGGCCUGUUCUGACGCUGAGGAGCGAAAGCGUGGGGAGCGAACAGGAUUAGAUACCCUGGUAGUCCACGCCGUAAACGUUGGGCGCUAGGUGUGGGGUUCUUCCACGGAUUCCGCGCCGUAGCUAACGCAUUAAGCGCCCCGCCUGGGGAGUACGGCCGCAAGACUAAAACUCAAAUGAAUUGACGG
rnacentral:rRNA from 1 species